GAUGAACGCUAGCGGCAGGCUUAAUACAUGCAAGCCGUGGGGCAGCAUGAGUAGCAAUACUUGAUGGCGACCGGCAAACGGGUGCGGAACACGUACACAACCUUCCGAUAAGUGGGGAAUAGCCCAGAGAAAUUUGGAUUAAUACCCCGUAACAUAUAGAGUAGGCAUCUUCUUUAUAUUAUAGCUUCGGCGCUUAUUGAUGGGUGUGCGUCUGAUUAGGUAGUUGGCGGGGUAACGGCCCACCAAGCCUACGAUCAGUAGCUGAUGUGAGAGCAUGAUCAGCCACACGGGCACUGAGACACGGGCCCGACUCCUACGGGAGGCAGCAGUAAGGAAUAUUGGACAAUGGGCGAAAGCCUGAUCCAGCCAUGCCGCGUGAAGGAUUAAGGUCCUCUGGAUUGUAAACUUCUUUUAUUUGGGACGAAAAAAGGGAAUUCUUUCCCACUUGACGGUACCAAGUGAAUAAGCACCGGCUAACUCCGUGCCAGCAGCAGCCGCGG
rnacentral:rRNA from 1 species